UAACCUCUGGCGAAGAAAUCGUUUAAGUUG
rfam:Tenacibaculum sp. LPB0136, complete genome.